rnacentral:lncRNA from 15 species
AUGGAACCCCCUUCGUAUGAGGAGUCCCGUCUCCACCCUCCUGCUCUGAGCGCACAAGUAUUCAACAUACCUCCUCCCCCCUCCUACGACGCCUCCCUCUCCUCCCCCUCAACACCUCCUCCCACCUAUGGGGAAGCAAUUACAAACCAGCCAGAUCCUUUUCCUGUCCUGACUCCGCCCCGGGUGCAAACUGCUGCUCAUCCACAAAACACUGGACUCAUAAUCCAUCCACCUAUACAAGUUGGCGUAACGCCGUCUGUCAGUAGCAGACAAACUCAGCCAGUAGUCGUUGUGACGCAGCCGCAGCCUGUUCCUAUCACAGUGACAUAUCUGAGAGACGCCCCUGGUUUGGUACGCUGCCCACACUGCCACCACAUUGUCACCACUAAAGUCACAUACCUGCCUGGGAGGGCUGCCUGGUGCAUGUGUUUCCUUCUCACAGUGAUGGGGUUGAUCUGUGGCUGCUGUCUGAUUCCGUUCAUGGUACAUGGCCUACAAGAUGCACAUCAUUCCUGCCCACAGUGUGGAGAACAUCUGCACACAUACACAAGAUGA